AGGACGAACGCUGGCGGCGUGCUUAACACAUGCAAGUCGAGCGGUAAGGCCUUUCGGGGUACACGAGCGGCGAACGGGUGAGUAACACGUGGGUGAUCUGCCCUGCACUUCGGGAUAAGCCUGGGAAACUGGGUCUAAAUACCGGAUAUGACCUCCUAUCGCAUGGUGGGUGGUGGAAAGAUUUAUCGGUGCAGGAUGGGCCCGCGGCCUAUCAGCUUGGUUGGUGGGUAAUGGCCUA
rnacentral:rRNA from 1 species